UGUGCGAUGUUUGCAUAUGGCGCGUAAAAAUGCACAGUGAGAUUUUUUUUCAGGCACAAAAGAGACGCGCGGUUCUUCGCGGCACACUUCACAGUGAUGCGAAGUAGAAAAUGACCAACUGUGAGAGGACGAGAAAAAAGACGAGCUCGGUGUCCGUUACGACGUUCGGAAUUGAUACGGACACGUGGAGUUUAUCGUGAUUCUUUAUACGAUAACGUAUUCGCGCGUAUACUUUAUCUGUACGUCUGCGACAUCAGCAUCGUUGCAGAAUUAACGUGUUUCGAGAACGGACGAAUACCGUGGGGCAGUCUCUCUCAGAAAUAUGGCACGCAGUAUUUGAAUCUUGCGAGGUAACAUUCCCGCAAUGUUCCGGCAAUAUUUCGUGGAAAUAUCAAUAGAACCACAUCGGUGAAUGGUGUAUCUUCUUCCGAGUUGUCAGAAAUCGCAGUCAUCAUCAUCAUUGUCAUUAUCGUUAUCGACUGCUCUUCCGCAGGGCGGUAAGAAGUAUGCACGCUCCUGCGAACGUUCGCUGUUUGUUGUG